rnacentral:rRNA from 1 species
UACGUAGGGUGCGAGCGUUAAUCGGAAUUACUGGGCGUAAAGCGUGCGCAGGCGGUUUUGUAAGGCAGAUGUGAAAUCCCCGGGCUUAACCUGGGAAUGGCAUUUGGGACUGCAAGGCUUGAGUGCGGCAGAGGAGACUGGAAUUCCUGGUGUAGCAGUGAAAUGCGUAGAUAUCAGGAGGAACACCGAUGGCGAAGGCAGGUCUCUGGGCUGACACUGACGCUCAUGCACGAAAGCGUGGGGAGCAAACAGG